ACCCCGAGGAAAAGAAAUCAACCGAGAUUCCCCCAGUAGCGGCGAGCGAACGGGGAGCAGCCCAGAGUCUGAAUCAGCUUGUGUGUUAGUGGAACGGUCUGGAAAGUCCGACGGUACAGGGUGAUAGUCCCGUACACCAAAAUGCACAGGUUGUGAACUCGAAGAGUAGGGCGGGACACGUGGUAUCCUGUCUGAAUAUGGGGGGACCAUCCUCCAAGGCUAAAUACUCCUGACUGACCGAUAGUGAACCAGUACCGUGAGGGAAAGGCGAAAAGAACCCCGGCGAGGGGAGUGAAAAAGA
rnacentral:rRNA from 1 species